UACGUAGGUGGCGAGCGUUAUCCGGAAUGAUUGGGCGUAAAGGGUGCGUAGGCGGUUUCUUAAGUCAGAGGUGAAAGGCUACGGCUCAACCGUAGUAAGCCUUUGAAACUGGGGAACUUGAGUGCAGAAGAGGAGAGUGGAAUUCCUAGUGUAGCGGUGAAAUGCGUAGAUAUUAGGAGGAACACCAGUUGCGAAGGCGGCUCUCUGGACUGUAACUGACACUGAGGCACGAAAGCGUGGGGAGCAAACAGG
rnacentral:rRNA from 1 species